rnacentral:rRNA from 1 species
GGAUAACUUACCCUUAGGACUGGGAUAACUCUGGGAAACUGGGGAUAAUACUGGAUAUUAGGCUAUGCCUGGAAUGGUUUGCCUUUGAAAUGUUUUUUUUCGCCUAAGGAUAGGUCUGCGGCUGAUUAGGUCGUUGGUGGGGUAAUGGCCCACCAAGCCGAUGAUCGGUACGGGUUGUGAGAGCAAGGGCCCGGAGAUGGAACCUGAGACAAGGUUCCAGACCCUACGGGGUGCAGCAGGCGCGAAACCUCCGCAAUGUACGAAAGUGCGACGGGGGGAUCCCAAGUGUUAUGCUUUUUUGUAUGACUUUUCAUUAGUGUAAAAAGCUUUUAGAAUAAGAGCUGGGCAAGACCGGUGCCAGCCGCCGCGGUAACACCGGCAGCUCGAGUGGUAGCUGUUUUUGUUGGGCCUAAAGCGUUCGUAGCCGGUUUGAUAAGUCUUUGGUGAAAGCUUGUAGCUUAACUAUAAGAAUUGCUGGAGAUACUAUUAGACUUGAAGUCGGGAGAAGUUAGAGGUACUACCGGGGUAGGGGUGAAAUCCUAUAAUCCUGGGAGGACCACCUGUGGCGAAGGCGUCUAACUGGAACGAUCUUGACGGUGAGUAACGAAAGCCAGGGGCGCGAA